ensembl:lncRNA novel transcript
AGCGCCCGGUGACUGCGGACGGAUGAAUAGACGCUGCGGGUCACUGCGCUCUCCCCUGGUCACAGCAACCUCCAAAAACCCAACUUUGCAAAGAUAUGGCAUCGUCAGAAGAAAUGGGGUGCAAUCUAAUGUUGACAGUGUGGAUGAGAGUGGGACACCUGCCAGUUGUUUGCAUCAGCAGACACUCAGAGUCCAUGGAAAAAAUGAGCCUAGAGGUUUUUAAACCACAACACAAGCAAAAGGCACCUGGUCCCGUUCCUCUUAAGACAGAAGAAAGAGGCGUAAAACCAGCUCCAGGUGCCACCCUUAAGAAAUGUUACAGUGCCGGAUGGGAAGAGUAAACCCUGAACAUCUCUUCUUAAUACUUUACAGACUUCAAGUGUAUUUUAUGGUGACAAAGCAUAUUGAAGACAAAUGAAACUCUACAACCCUGAAAACCAGCCUGAAUUAUUUUGAGAGACAGACAGUGGCUGCAAGGAGAAGCGUCGGGAUUUUCUGGGCUGGCCAUCUCCAGUGUCACUGACCCCGGUCUACCCCUGCAUGUUUGUUUACGGGAAAGGAGUUGAGGAGGAGGAUGUAUGGCUGAGAGCCUGAAAAUAAUCCAGGGCAGGUGGAGCGAGGAGAGGACUUUACUCCUCACACUCAUGUAGGCAUCCUGAAAAGCCACUUUUCUUUCCAAGGUGGGCACGGGCCUUGAGCUUGGAGUGGAGCCAGUUAAAGUUGUCCGCUCUGGGUCGUCAGAUGGAGAUCUUAUCUUGGGUCAUGAAUUGUGGUUUUAGGAGAAAGGCAGAAGCUAAACCCAUCUUCUGUCUGGUGGGGAGGCCCAGCAAAGGGCUCAGAAACACAGCCACAGGCCUCUUGCAGCAGCUGGAUGCACAUUUCAGGAGGUUGCCUGAAAGCAGAAUUGACUUCAGAGAGUAGGGCAGCAGAGCCCAGCCACAGAGUGGUCCCAGGAGCCAGGAAGUGCCACACAGCCCCUCGCUUAUUUUUACUCAGUAUGCCACAGAAGUCCUGACCUGUUAAAAGUGCCCUUUAAGAAUGGCUGGCCCACCCUCUCUCAGAGGGUUCAUGCUGGGGAGAGGGUUCCUGCAUGCCCGCUAAGCUCCAAAUGACAACCCAGGUGUAGAAAGGGCUUAGACUUUAGGGUUCAAACCCAUCCUAGAGUCCGGUCCAAGGCCAGUUACAGCCAAUGGGCAGUGGUAGGUGCAGCCCAGCCCAUUAGCUCAUUCUUGAGCCUCAGAGGGACAGAGCAGCACUAAUGGGUGCACAAAUGGCUAGAAUGUUCACCAACUCCUCGAGAGUGGCAUUGGACAUUUGGGCAAGGGUCUUAUGGAGGCUGAGAGUUGACUGUGGGCUCAUCACAGCUAUUUUGAGGGUCUUGACAGCCCAACUAGCAAACAAUUCUGCAGGGAUGAGAGGUCAGGGCAAAGGGAAAUGGCAUUGUCAAGUGGACAGCCAAAAAGUCCAGGAUGCCCCCAGGUCCUGGGGAACGGCGGGGGAGGAACUCAGGGACUGGAUUACCCACAGGACCUGGUGAGACCCACAGCCACGGGCUGACUUGUGUCCACUCAGAAGCGUAUGUUAAAAUCCUAACCCCCAGUACUUUGGAAUGUGACCUUAUUUGGAAAUAGAGACUUUGAAGAUGA